rnacentral:rRNA from 1 species
UACGAAGGGUGCAAACGUUGCUCGGAAUUAUUGGGCGUAAAGCGCACGUAGGCGGCAUUGCAAAGUCCCAUGUGAAAGCCCACGGCUUAACCGUGGAAGUGCAUGGGAAACUGCAGUGCUUGAGUACUUAAGAGGAUCGCGGAAAUUCCUGGUGUAGAGGUGAAAUUCGUAGAUAUCAGGAGGAACACCAUUGCGAAGGCAGCUCGCUGGGACGUUACUGACGCUGAGAACGCGAAAGCCGUGGGGAGCAAACAGG